CCGGUGCCCAAAGAACCACACAUUUUACCUUCUGUUUCAGUUUGUAGAGUGCUGUGACAGACAGGGAACAGCAUAAUACUUAGCUUUUAUUUCAGGUCAUUUCAUUUCUUGGUUUUAAUUCAUUGAUUAAUUUUUUAAAAUGUUUCACUACAUAUAACUGGCCUUGAGCUCUUGAUCACCCUGUCUCCACUUGCCUGGUCCUGGGAUUACCAGACAGAGCCACCAUGCCUGAAAUACCUCCAGGGAAGGAAGGAUUUAACCCUAUUUCUUGGAAACUGAAGCUUGCAGACAGAGCAGUAUGUCAAAGGUCUCUCCAUUCCAAGGCACAUGUGUGGGUCAUCACCAUUCGAAAAACUGAACUCCUCUCUUCAGGACGGGGCAAUGACUUCCUAUUAAAGUUUUCAUUAUUCCCCUAAGGUGCUCCCUGGGAGAGAGGAAACACUUCAGGAGAGCAGAUAAAGCCAACACAUUGGCAUCAUUCACAUAUCUGUUUGA